CUUGUAGGGGCCGUGUGGUAGAUUUUGUGCGUCUUGGCAGGCCUCCGGAGCAACAGCGCUCUCAUUCCUUUCUCGUCGUGCUCGCGAAAUCAAAAGAUAAGAGAAGGAUAUUCCUACAAGGCUUUACAGAGUUCAGUAAUUCUCGGCCGCCGCCUCCUCCUCCCGCACCCGCUCGUCCCUCCCCCUCCUCCUCUACGCCUCCUCCACCCUAACCCUAGCAGCACCCCACGCCGCCGCCGUCUCCUUCGCCGAGCCCGCCAGACCCCCGCCGCCCACCUCCCCUGCGCCGUCGCCGUCGUCCACCACCACCACCACCGCGGCCCCAUCCUCUUUCCAUCCCUGCCGGCCCCAAUCCCCUCACCUUCUCUCCCGUGGCCAGUGGAUUCGCCCCUUGGGAGGUCGAUUCCUCCGAGCCGACGGUCUGCAGGGCCGGCCAAGAGCGGCACGUACCCCGUCAGCGCGUCGGUGGCGACGGCCCCGCGGGUCGAGGCUGGCCCCCAACGGCGCUGGCGCUGCGUCGGGUACUUCCUUUGCCGGCGCCACACUCCACCCCUUCUCCUCCGUGUUCCUCUCACUGCCUAUGCCGCAGGUUGCUGCUCGCGGUUGGUUGCAAGGAUAGGUGUUGCCGUGGUCAAUUUCUCCUAGGAAGGUUUGUCUUCAACCUCUGAAGCCAUGCAUCUACAGGAUGGUCUGCCCAUUGCUUACACAUGUGAAAAGCGAGUGACGCAUGUCAAGCUGCUGGGAGCUCAGGGCACGUUCAUCAGCUUCAGCUGCAUCAGUGCAACUGAAAAUGCAGUGCUGGUCGAUGGUCCUGCUGCCCUCUUGUCCGACAUACAUUUAUUUAUGUAUUUGACGCACCUGGGUUCCACAUGCUAACCUCGGCAAGCACAUACAACAGGGUCGUCUUCCUCUCUGGCCGCUUCCACACCGUCAUGGAUGUCGCAGACCUCAUCCUCGAGAAGCUCCUCUACCAGAGGUUCUAAUGAUCUUCCAGCCAGGGAGGAAGUGAACUCACAAAAAUAUGAGGCAGGAAGGCCAUGGAGUAGCUGCUUGGUUCAAGGGCAUGCCGUGGCUGCUCCCUAUGUAGAGCGCGUGGACGGAGGAGCUGACCCUCCUCACGCAGCCAGGCCAGAUGCAGCGAUGGGUCUGUACUCUGAGGGUUACUUUCAUUUGCGUUGAAAGCUAUGUGGGUCAUUUGUCACGGCCACAGAUGCGGCCCCGGAGCUGUCGGGUUAAGGUGGAGGCCUGAGUAGCCGACAUCUACUGCGUCCUCUUCGACGCCGUGCCCAACGCCAAGUCUGCCAUAUUACGCUCUGUACCAGUUCGGCACCAGCGGCGCCGUCGUCGCCGUCGCCACCACCGUUACGCAUCCGCUCGGUCAGUCAAUUGCGCAGGGUUUUUAAAAAAGUUCUUCAUGUGUACAGGAAGAAUAGGAAGCAAAAAAGGGAGGUGAGGAGGACUUGUGUACACAUGAUUAGGUGGUUAUGCUGGUUUUAUCUUUCGAUUGGUUGUUAGCCCCCUACAAGAGUUGCCACAAUAUGAAAAGGCUCCGAAAGGUGUCACGGUCAGGAAUCUUUUUCCAGGCAUCCAGUGAUGAUCAGGUAACCAAACCAUAUCACAGGAUGUGUGUUUGUGUGAUCCGGCAAAGUAAUGCUCUUCUUUUGUGGUAUGUGGAAAGUAAUGCUCUCUUUGUUUAUUCAUUUUUGGAGCCAUUAAAUAUUUUUGCCCUCAUAGUAGUUUUAGAUGUUAUGCCUUAGCAUAUUAUAUCAAUGAGAAGUGAAUGUGUUUUAGCUCGUAUCUUCUAAAUUAGUGUCUUCCACCGCAUAUCAGAAAUUAAUGGUUCAUAUCAUGUUUUGUAUUUCUGUUAUAUCAUGUACUUCUUCAAAAUUUGUAUCUCAACCUAGCUUUCUUAGUGAUAAUUUUAGUGGAAGAAAUUAUAUUUCUUUUCGAGUAUGAGGACUGUUAUUUAUUAACAACAAGUAUUUAUCACCUUUUAAAAAAUUAGUCUCCUUAUUAACAGAAAUACACUGAUCCUAUUCUACCACUAUAAUUUAGUUCAUGUGCUGUAGGCAUCACUGUCAUUGCAAUUCCUAAAGAUAUGGAAUUCUCAUACUAAUGCCGCUAAUAUAUUUGCUCAAGAGGUCUCAAAUUGAAAGCUAGGCACACUCUUCUUCAUAAAUCGUGUUUUAUAACCAGAUCAACAAAGUUUUUGUAUUUCAUGAUUGAUAGAUGAAGUCAUGUUUGCCAAUGUCACCCAAAAAUACACUAAUUAUUUUCCAUCCUGAGCUCAUUUCCAUGCCUGCUCUGGAAUAUUUUCCUACGGAGAAGAUGGCCACAAUACCAAUUGGGCAGACUUUGUCAAGGCGACAGGAAUAGAAGAAUAACAUAUACUCAGAUAAGGAUCUUCGCCUUCAAGAUUAUAAGGGGAAAUUAUUGCUCACUGUCCUGUCCAUAUGCUUUAGAAGGAAAUCACAAGUGUAUUUUCUAUACAAAACCAUCAUGUGGUCAUCUAUAUUACAAACUAUUCACACCAUAUUCAUAUGGAAUGGCACUUAUGGCGGUAGUUGAAUCAAAGCUAUCUAUCAGUACGCCUAACUAUGGCUUUGUAGUUUUAGCGCAUCCACUGCCACUGUGUUGGCAUUUGCUCUCUAAUGUUCCUGCUUGUACUACUGAACUUAAUGUCAACUAAUUAGCUUUUGCAAUCUCAUGGCUGCAUUGAGCUUGAUGUUGCCUUACUUU